rnacentral:misc_RNA from 1 species
GGUUGUGAUAAUAGUGGUUUGCGCAUCCUCCUCCGUAUGACUUUUGAGGUUGCUGUUGUUGAUAAUGUGUGGUGUGAAUGUGUUGCAGAGGUGGUUGGAGAAUUCUUCAGCUUGUUCUUCGUUGCUUCUUGCCCAUGUGUUAUCUGCUUUUCUGAUUGCUGGGACGGGUAUUAUUGGCUUCUUUAUUUUUUUAAUUCUAAGAGCACACGUCGAGAGGUCGGGUGUAUAAAGCCGCUAAGCCGAACGAACACGUUGACAUUGUUUAUCACUGAAUAAU